GGAUGCUAGUCAGGUUUGUUAACCACUGAACCAUGAUGGGAACUCCUGAGUACGCCCUUUUGAAAUGCGAUUUGAUGACACUGCAGGCAAGGUGGGCCCCGGAUCACCAAAUCUCCCCAUGUGAGUGGGAGGGCGGCAGGAAGGGAAGCGGGAUUCUCCCCUAUCCUUAGUGGGACAGGUAUCUAGAUGAACCCCAGGCACACCUUUUCUGGGAGAGACCUCGGCGCUGACGGAUGCCUGGCAGCCCUCCUUCCUCACACCCCAGCUGUGCCAGGCAGUUAAGCCCUCACCUUUGUAAUAGGGCAUGAGCCCCAGAAACGCCUGGCGCACCUUCUCCCCCUUCAGCGGCUGCAUGUUCUCCAGCUGCUCCAGGAGGGGCCCAAUGGCAUAGUACUGGGCCUCCUUGUACACGGCCCGCACGCGCUCCCGGGGCGGCAGGUCCCCCGAGCGCAGGAAAUUCAGCACAUCUCUGAGCAGGAAGGAAAGAGGCUUGGUGAGAAGGAGCUGAUGGACCCGGACACGGGCUCAUAGUGGUUAGAGCACAGCGUCUGGAACCAGGCGGCCACAGCUGGGGAACCCUGGGAGAGUGGCUACUGUUCCGUGUGCUGUACCAGCAAGACCCUGUAAGACUCAGGAUGAUGAUCUCCAGUUGCAGCCUCAGUUACUUCAGAUUCUUUAGGGCCACGAGUAAUCAGACCCGUCACCAGCAGGUGUGGGAAGGGCGUCUGUGAGGACAUCUGAGCCAACCCCAAGAUCAAGCUGCCAGCCCAAGAGUCUACGAUCACGAUGCAACACCAGCUAACAUUCGCUAAGUGUUAAUCCGUGUCAGCCACUAUUCCCGUGCUUCCUGUUUAAUCCUGUCAAUGACGGGCAUUGGAGGCAGCUGACAGCCCAAUGGGGAAACCCAGAUGCUUCAAAGCAAACGAUUUGACCAGAGACUCCUUUCUGAGGAUGAAAAUGACCCUUCUCCCCAUGUGGCCAGUCCUACGUGGAGGCCGGCACGGAGGCGCAGUGGUUGGAGAGCUUCUCUCCGUUCAAGGUCAAGGCCAUGUGAGUUCUCCAGUCAUCUCCAAAGUUAGACGGAUGGGGCCAAGAGCUUCAGCCACAAACUCUGAAAGGACCCGGCAGGGCUCUCACCAAGGCUCUUUAUUUAAUCCACACGACAGGCAGCUGUAAUUAUUUCUCACUUCACAAACAAGGAAACCGAAAUACAAAGGCUUUAAGUUG